rnacentral:tRNA from 1 species
CAAAGUGUAGCGCAGUCCAGUUAGUGCAUCUGUUUUGGGUAUAGAGGGCCAUAGGUUCGAAUCCUGUCACCUUGA